AGUUGCAUUUUCCAUGGGUUUCCAUGCCUAGAAAACAUGUGGGUCCUACCUACUGCAACCAUUUUCUUUUUGAUAAAGGAAGAAAGUGCCUAUAUAUAUUUCUUACAUUUAUAUAUAAGAAAGAGGACGGUUCACCUUUGAGAGAGGACAAUUCACCUUGCAGAUUCAUCAUCCAUAGAUAUAAACUUGGUGAGCUGCUUGGAUUUUGACAAGGUUAACAUCAUCAUCAUGGCACGAGUCAUAAGACAAUCACACAAUAUCUACUUUAUGGAUGUUUUUAUAGGCUUUUCCUAAUCAUUAAGCUCAAUGUGUUUGAAAUAAACUUUCCAAGGAGUAAUGUCUUGUUCAGGAUUACCUAUCCUGCAUCCAUAGUACCAAACCAUAGAAUUUAAUUUCUUUUUCAAACUAAUACCACCAAACUACAGAUAUAGGAAUACUGCCCCGAGAAUAACCUUUUUUUCCCUAGCCAUCACCGACCAUGUUAUAAUGAAGGCAAAAAUAUCUUGAAACAAAUCAUUGGACUAUAAUGGAAUAGUUGCCAGUUGUAUUAUUGCAUUAAAUCUGUUAACUCUAUUAUCUUCAUAUUUGAGGUUCUCUAUUUAUAGCAUUAUCAACAAAUUGUUUUGGACAUGCAUUUUACCAACUUGCUAACCUUCUUAUUUUUAUUUUUUUGGUAUAAACCAACUUGCUAUUGACAUAAAUUUCUUCCCUUCUUUCACCAAAUGGUUACUUGCUCAAACUCACAUAGUGGAGAACAAGCUUUAAAGCCCUUGAAUUCUCGCCAAAAUUAUUCAUUCAAUCAAGUAGUGGAACAAUUUUGCUUACAAGUUUAUGUUUACUCAAGAUAAAUGAUAACAAUUUUAACAAAAAUAAAAAUAAAAAACCCGAAAAAAGAAAGAUAAGUGAUAACAAAGUUUAGGGGAUGAGCCAAUAUGUCUUAGCAUUACCUCAUUCUAAAACUCAACAUGCCAAACAUAAUGUACAACAAUUAUUUAAACCA